UACGUAGGGUGCAAGCGUUAAUCGGAAUUACUGGGCGUAAAGCGUGCGCAGGCGGUUAUGUAAGACAGUUGUGAAAUCCCCGGGCUCAACCUGGGAACUGCAUCUGUGACUGCAUAGCUAGAGUACGGUAGAGGGGGAUGGAAUUCCGCGUGUAGCAGUGAAAUGCGUAGAUAUGCGGAGGAACACCGAUGGCGAAGGCAAUCCCCUGGACCUGUACUGACGCUCAUGCACGAAAGGCGUGGGGAGCAAACGAGG
rnacentral:rRNA from 1 species